CAAGUCGAGCGGUAGCACAGGGGAGCUUGCUCCCUGGGUGACGAGCGGCGGACGGGUGAGUAAUGUCUGGGAAACUGCCUGAUGGAGGGGGAUAACUACUGGAAACGGUAGCUAAUACCGCAUAACGUCGCAAGACCAAAGAGGGGGACCUUCGGGCCUCUUGGCCAUAUAAGAUGUGCCCAGAUGGGAUUAGCUAGUAGGUGGGGUAAUGGCUCACCUAGGCGACGAUCCCUAGCUGGUCUGAGAGAAUGACCAGCCACACUGGAACUGAGACACGGUCCAGACUCCUACGGGAGGCAGCAGUGGGGAAUAUUGCACAAUGGGCGCAAGCCUGAUGCAGCCAUGCCGCGUGUGGUGAAGAAGGCCUUCGGGUUGUAAAGCACUUUCAGCGAGGAGGAAGGUGGUGAACUUAAUACGUUCAUCAAUUGACGUUACUCGCAGAAGAAGCACCGGCUAACUCCGUGCCAGCAGCCGCGGUAAUACGGAGGGUGCAAGCGUUAAUCGGAAUUACUGGGCGUAAAGCGCACGCAGGCGGUUUGUUAAGUCAGAUGUGAAAUCCCCGGGCUCAACCUGGGAACUGCAUUUGAAACUGGCAAGCUAGAGUCUCGUAGAGGGGGGUAGAAUUCCAGGUGUAGCGGUGAAAUGCGUAGAGAUCUGGAGGAAUACCGGUGGCGAAGGCGGCCCCCUGGACGAAGACUGACGCUCAGGUGCGAAAGCGUGGGGAGCAAACAGGAUUAGAUACCCUGGUAGUCCACGCUGUAAACGAUGUCGAUUUGGAGGUUGUGCCCUUUGAGGCGUGGCUUCCGGAGCUAACGCGUUAAAUCGACCGCCUGGGGAGUACGGCCGCAAGGUUAAAACUCAAAUGAAUUGACGGGGGCCCGCACAAGCGGUGGAGCAUGUGGUUUAAUUCGAUGCAACGCGAAGAACCUUACCUACUCUUGACAUCCAGAGAACUUUCCAGAGAUGGAUUGGUGCCUUCGGGAACUCUGAGACAGGUGCUGCAUGGCUGUCGUCAGCUCGUGUUGUGAAAUGUUGGGGUAAGUCCCGCAACGAGCGCAACCCUUAUCCUUUGUUGCCAGCGGUUCGGCCGGGAACUCAAAGGAGACUGCCAGUGAUAAACUGGAGGAAGGUGGGGAUGACGUCAAGUCAUCAUGGGCCCUUACGAGUAGGGCUACACACGUGCGUACAAUGGCGUAUACAAAGAGAAGCGACCUCGCGAGAGCAAGCGGAACCUCAUAAAGAUACGCUCCUUAGUCCCGAUUGGAGUCU
rnacentral:rRNA from 1 species